rnacentral:lncRNA from 1 species
AUCAGCUUUUAUGUUCAGAAGGCAGGGCACACCUGGAAGCUGUUGUCGGGGGAUGGCCUGAUUGAGCUGGUGAGGCCCUGGGCGUGCGGGUGUGGAAUAUCCUGCUCCAAUCAAAGCCUGUCACCUGCGUUGUCCAGUGAAACGUCAGCGGACAGGCGCUGCCCGGGCUCCAGGGAGCUCCUCACUGAGGCUCACUCCCUGCGCCUCUGCCAUCAGCACAGGGGGACCUGCCUGGCUGCCUGUGGGACCAGGGAGGACGCGCGGUGCGGGAGCAGAGCCAGCCACACUGCCGCUGCUGCACUGUUCAUCUGAGUGGCGCAAGAACUUGUCAGUGCCUUUAAUCUGAGGGAUGAGUCUCCAGGAGAGUUUGUUGUCAGGAUUUAACACUUACUCUUGGAAAAGCAGUGAUGUGUGCUGGAAAUGAACCGGGCAGACCCUACUCCCAUCUCCAUCUGCCUCAAUCUCAGUGCCCUCCACUCCCCACCAGCAGCGCCUGUCACCAAGUCACUGCACAACACCCACAAAUGGAGAGUGGAGGAGCAUCACUUUCCACCCUAGGAUCAUGACGAGGGCUCUGUAACU